rnacentral:rRNA from 1 species
CCUACGGGUGGCAGCAGUGGGGAAUAUUGCACAAUGGGCGCAAGCCUGAUGCAGCAACGCCGCGUGAGCGAAGAAGGCCUUCGGGUCGUAAAGCUCUGUCCUCAAGGAAGAUAAUGACAGUACUUGUAGAGGAAGCCCCGGCUAACAACGUGCCAGCAGCCGCGGUAAUAGGUAGGGGGCUAGCGUUAUCCGGAAUUACUGGGCGAAAGGGGUGUGUAGGUGGUUUCUUAAGUCAGUGGUGAAAGGCUGCGGCUCAACCGUAAUAAGCCUUUGAAACUGGGAAACUUGAGUGCAGCAGAGGAGAGUGGAAUUCCUAGUGUAGCGGUGAAAUGCGUAGAUAUUAGGAAGAACACCAGUGGCGAAGGCAGCUCUCUGGACUGUAACUGACACUGAGGCACGAAAGCGUGGGGAGCAAACAGGAUUAGAUACCCCAGUAGUC